GAUCUUUAAUUUGAGUUCUAACU
rnacentral:snRNA from 1 species